rnacentral:rRNA from 1 species
AUUGAACGCUGGCGGCAUGCUUUACACAUGCAAGUCGAACGGCAGCGCCACUUUCGUCCUGGCCGCGUGUCGCACACGUGUGUGUUAUAUAUCAACACGUCUCGUAUUGUGGGGUAUCUCUCCGCGAGAGUAGCUUUUAUCCCACAUGAUCCCUGAGUGAGAACGCGGGAGCUCCUCGCCUUUCGCUCUUUUAGCGCCUCCGAUGGCAGAUUAUCUAGUUGGUGGUGUAAAGGCCUACCAAGGCGACGAUCUGUAGCUGGUCUGAGAGGACGACCAGCCACACUGGGACUGAGACACGGCCCAGACUCCUACGGGAGGCAGCAGUGGGGAAUUUUGGACAAUGGGCGAAAGCCUGAUCCAGCAAUGCCGCGUGUGGGAUGAAGGCCUUCGGGUUGUAAAGUACUUUUGGAGGGAACGAAAAGGACUGUGCUAAUACAGGAGGGUGAUGACGGUACCGUAAGAAUAAGCACCGGCUAACUACGUG